rnacentral:misc_RNA from 1 species
UUGAUUACGUCCCUGCCCUUUGUACACACCGCCCGUCGCUACUACCGAUUGGAAGUUUUAGUGAGGCAUCCGGACUUGCUGGCCACGGGGGGCAACCCUCAGGUUGGCGGGGAAGUUUGUCGAACUCAAAUUUCUAGAGGAAGUAAAAGUCGUAACAAGGUUUCCGUAGGUGAACCUGCGGAAGGAUCAUUACAAGUAUAGCCGAGACACAUUGGAUACUCUUCCUGAAAAUGGUUUUGUAUUUCCGUUUGCUCGUGCAAAUACAUUCUUAACACGACUCGUUUGCUACUAGGACGUACGCGCCUAGUUAGCUGCGGGCUAUCGUGGUGUAACUGUAGUUAGGAUGAACGUUGCUCUUUUGGGUGUGACGCAGAUGAAGAAUCUGGCCCGGCAAAUUGCAUCCGCCCUAAGAUGUGCUUAGGUUGCUAGCUAUACUCGCCAGCGCGCGAACCCUGAUUAAAGGGAUCUACGUUCAUUGUCGUUAUCCGGUUCGGGCAGCGCUGGUAGAAUAGUGUCAUGUUUCUGUAAGCUUGUGUCUUUCAGGGCAGUGUCCACACUCGGCUAGCCAACUUAACUCAUCGUCGUUGUUUUUAUAUUUACGAACACGAAAUUGUGUGCAUAGGCACUCACCAACCAAACUUUAAAUUAACCAAAAACACUAAACAAAAGACAAAAUAUUCACAAUUAACGGUGGAUCACUUGGGUCGUAGAUCGAUGAAGAACGCAGCAAGACUGCGAUAGGCGGCGCGAACUGCAGAAUUAACUGAGCGCUUGAUGUUCGAACGCAUAUUGCGGCUUCGGUUAGCAAUAACUGGAGCCUUGCCUGUAUGAGGGUCGGUUAGAACUUACAAAACUCGGGUUUGUGCAACAGGUCAAACUGUUCGCGAACGUUAGUAGAGAUUGUUCCGGAGCGCGAGCUACGAUGGAACGUGAUAAGGCCCCGCAUGCGACUCGCCGUAAGGCGACGACCAUCUGGGCUACUAUUGGAAACAGGCGAUUUUGUUGAUUGAGCUAGCUGGCUAGCGCGAGCUUCCCGCAACCAACUCAAUCGGCGCGUAAUGAAAUCUCGUGCGAAUAAGGAUGUGCAACUGCACUAGUCAACUGGCGACGCCAGUUAUCUGACUUACCCGCACAAGUGCAAGUUUCGGCUUGUAACCGGGUGCCAUCGUGCUCAGUACGGUCGUACACUUAUCAAACAGGUGACUAGGAUAAAUGCAGCCUUUUACAUCCUGCGAGACUUCAUUGCGCCAAUUGUUUACAUGACCAAACCAACCUUUUCGACCUCAUAUCGGACAAGAUUACCCGCUAAAUUUAAGCAUAUUAUUAAGCGGAGGAAAAGAAAGCAAAAGCGAUUCCCCUUAGUAACGGCGAGUGAAA